rnacentral:rRNA from 1 species
GAGUUUGAUCGUGGCUCAGAUUGAACGCUGGCGGCAUGCCUUACACACGCAAGUCGAACGGUAACAGGUCUUCGGAUGCUGACGAGUGGCGAACGGGUGAGUAAUACAUCGGAACGUGCCCGAUCGUGGGGGAUAACGGAGCGAAAGCUUUGCUAAUACCGCAUACGAUCUACGGAUGAAAGCAGGGGACCGCAAGGCCUUGCGCGGACGGAGCGGCCGAUGGCAGAUUAGGUAGUUGGUGGGAUAAAAGCUUACCAAGCCGACGAUCUGUAGCUGGUCUGAGAGGACGACCAGCCACACUGGGACUGAGACACGGCCCAGACUCCUACGGGAGGCAGCAGUGGGGAAUUUUGGACAAUGGGCGAAAGCCUGAUCCAGCCAUGCCGCGUGCAGGAUGAAGGCC